UACAGAGGGUGCGAACGUUGCUCGGAAUUACUGGGCGUAAAGCGCACGUAGGCGGACAUUUAAGUCAGGGGUGAAAUCCCGGGGCUCAACCCCGGAACUGCCUUUGAUACUGGGUGUCUUGAGUCCGGAAGAGGUGAGUGGAAUUGCGAGUGUAGAGGUGAAAUUCGUAGAUAUUCGCAGGAACACCAGUGGCGAAGGCGGCUCACUGGUCCGGUACUGACGCUGAGGUGCGAAAGCGUGGGGAGCAAACAGG
rnacentral:rRNA from 1 species